rnacentral:rRNA from 1 species
CCUACGGGAGGCAGCAGUCGAGAAUCAUUCACAAUGGGGGAAACCCUGAUGGUGCGACGCCGCGUGGGGGAAUGAAGGUCUUCGGAUUGUAAACCCCUGUCAUGUGGGAGCAAAUUAAAAAGAUAGUACCACACGAGGAAGAGACGGCUAACUCUGUGCCAGCAGCCGCGGUAAUACAGAGGUCUCAAGCGUUGUUCGUAAUCACUGGGCGUAAAGCGUGCGUAGGCUGUUUCGUAAGUCGUGUGUGAAAGGCGCGGGCUCAACCCGCGGACGGCACAUGAUACUGCGAGACUAGAGUAAUGGAGGGGGAACCGGAAUUCUCGGUGUAGCAGUGAAAUGCGUAGAUAUCGAGAGGAACACUCGUGGCGAAGGCGGGUUCCUGGACAUUAACUGACGCUGAGGCACGAAGGCCAGGGGAGCGAAAGGGAUUAGAUACCCCUGUAGUC